rnacentral:lncRNA from 10 species
CGGGGGCGGGGCGGAGGUGGGGCCUUGGGCCAAACCGUCACCCCUGGGCCACAGGCAGCCACGGACCUCGCCUUUCCCACUUGGUUAGAGUCGGCUCUGCCGGGAGAAAGCGAUUCCAGAAUUCCCUAAGUUAAAGGAAUUUCUUACUCCUUCUUGAGCGCCAUCCAAGGGCCAGGCCUUAGUCUAGGAACUGGCAACACCGUGGCGACCACGUCAGACAAGAUCGCUGCCCUCAUUGAGUUCCCAGGUUGGCAGGGGAAACAAAAAUGUAAUAAAUAACUGCACUUUGCAAGAAGAGCUAUGAAGAAAAAACAGGGUGAUGGGAGAGAGAAUGCUUGGAUGUUGAAGGGAGGCCUUUCUGAGAUGGCGACAUCUUGAGCUGAAUAAAGAAGGAUGAGAAAGGAUGGGGCUUGCAAAGUUCUGGCUUCAAAGAAUUCCAGGCAGAGGGAACAAGAGUGAAGUCUCCAGGGGAAGCCAGCUUAGUGUUUGGAGACUAGAAAGAAGGGGUGUGCGGCUGGAAGAUGGGAUGAGAAAACUAAAAAUCCAGGGGGAUUUUAGCAACUUGCCUACCUCACACAACUAGCAGCAGAGCCAGGAUUUUAACCCAGACAGUUCCAGGGCUCAGGUCCUUACCCUCUGGGCUGGCCUUCCCCCUCUACUGCCCCCUGAUACCCUCACUUUUCUGAACAUUGGACUCAUUCCUGUAGCUGGAGGUAGAGGACGGAAACUCAAAAGAUGAUUGAAGAUUAAAAAACAAGAUGAUUGAGGCUGGACUUCUCAAAACCUUGCUGCAGCCUGAGCUUGAGCGUUUGUGAGCUUUGCAGCCAGAUAUGAACAGAAGACAGAUUCAUUUCCUGCUGCCUGCUUCUCCAACCCCAAAUCUCCCAGUUUGAUCCGAGAGCCCUGAAGAUUUGCCUUCACCCGGCGCCCCCCAGAUGCUUCUUUUUAAGCCUUGCUUGUAAAUAGGUGUCAGUAAGGGUCUCACCAUGCAGGAUGUGGGCGUGUGGGUGCUCCAGAUCCCCACACCGGCUGUCACCAUCCCCCUGCUGUUGCCAGUGCAUCCCUUGAGGAUGCCUGGCAGGUUACACCCCACCCCGGGGGCAAAUGGUGACUGACAACAGAACAAGUGCUCACCUGCUUGCCCCACAGCAGGACAGUUCAGUGGGAGGAAUUUGUUCUAGAGCACCCUGGAUCAGGCCAAGGCUUUCCCCUUCCAUAUUCGGCUUCUUUUGCUCCUCUAAUAAGUCACGCAUGUGGAGCCCUAAGGAGCUAAAAGAAAAUUGGAAAUGAGCUUAGCUGGCAAGAACAGACACAGGGGUAGAGGGGAGUGAAUGUUCUGAGAAAUAGGGUCAACAGCAAACAGCUCACUAGCACCCAAACAUCCUGUUGCAAGCAUUCAGCUCACAGCCCACCUGCACCCAAGCUUCCUGUCUGCAAGCCUUCAGCCCAGACAGCAC